GACGAACGCUGGCGGCGUGCUUAACACAUGCAAGUCGAACGGAAAGGCCUCUUUCGGGGGGUACUCGAGUGGCGAACGGGUGAGUAACACGUGAGUAACCUGCCCUUGACUUUGGGAUAACUUCAGGAAACUGGGGCUAAUACCGGAUAGGAGCUCCUGCUGCAUGGUGGGGGUUGGAAAGUUUCGGCGGUUGGGGAUGGACUCGCGGCUUAUCAGCUUGUUGGUGGGGUGGUGGCUUACCAAGGCUUUGACGGGUAGCCGGCCUGAGAGGGUGACCGGCCACAUUGGGACUGGGGUACGGCCCAGACUCCUACGGGGGGCAACAGUGGGGAAUAUUGCACAAUGGGUGGAAGCCUGAUGCAGCAACGCCGUGUGCGGGAUGACGGGCUUCGGGUUGGAAACCGCUUUCGCUCAUGACGAAGCUUUGUGUGACGGUAGUGGGUAAAGAAGCACCGGCUAACUACGUG
rnacentral:rRNA from 1 species